rnacentral:rRNA from 1 species
AUUAAACGCUGGCGGCAUGCUUUACACAUGCAAGUCGAACGGUAACAGGCCGCAAGGUGCUGACGAGUGGCGAACGGGUGAGUAAUGCAUCGGAACGUGCCCAGUCGUGGGGGAUAACGCAGCGAAAGCUGCGCUAAUACCGCAUACGAUCUAUGGAUGAAAGCGGGGGACCGUAAGGCCUCGCGCGAUUGGAGCGGCCGAUGUCAGAUUAGGUAGUUGGUGGGGUAAAGGCUCACCAAGCCAACGAUCUGUAGCUGGUCUGAGAGGACGACCAGCCACACUGGGACUGAGACACGGCCCAGACUCCUACGGGAGGCAGCAGUGGGGAAUUUUGGACAAUGGGCGCAAGCCUGAUCCAGCAAUGCCGCGUGCAGGAAGAAGGCCUUCGGGUUGUAAACUGCUUUUGUACGGAACGAAACGGUCCGGGUUAAUACCCUGGGCUAAUGACGGUACCGUAAGAAUAAGCACCGGCUAACUACGUGCCAGCCGCCGCUGUAACAC